GCCUCUGUGGCUCAGUUGGUAGAGCGUUGGUCUCAUAUAUACGAUUACUUAAGUAAUCCAAAGGUCGUGGGUUCGAUCCCCACCGGGGGCA
rfam:Intoshia linei isolate Intl2013 Contig_12097, whole genome shotgun sequence.